AUGCGAUUUGUCCUACCGUGUAGGGUCUGUUUGGUUUACAACCAAAAUGAGCCAUACCAAAAAUUGGCUUGCCUACAGUAUUUGGUUGCUAUUUGGAUUGAGGCCGAAAAGUUGGUUUGUCCAGCCCGUCACGGGCGCGACCGCACUAGUCCAGGGAGAGCGUUGGCGAAAUCAGGACGGCAAAAACGCUCGCCAACGAAUUGACAACGCUGGUCAAUCUCUGAUCCUUAGUGGGCCCCGGUGAUUUUUUAUUCUUUUUUUCUCCGCUAUUCAUGGAAGCAGAGCACUCUCUCUUCUCAAUCCGGUGGGUGGAAAAGUCCAUCAACUUUUUCAUUUUUGUUUAUUUCUAAUCCAUGAUUUACCUCUAAAUCUUGUUUACUGCCUCGCGAACCGAGAAUUUGAUCUAAGUUAAAUGUUUGAGCACUAAGUUAGUUGCAAACAUAAAAGGUUGGCCAAAAAAAAUUAGAUGCAAAUCAAACAACACCUAUUUGCCAAAAUAUUGGUCAUGCCCUUGUUUUGGUCGUGCCAAUAUUUGUCAAAAAUUUGGUGAGGCAGACUGGGG
rnacentral:lncRNA from 1 species